rnacentral:rRNA from 1 species
UGAGUGGACGAAAGCUCCGGCGGCAUAGGAUGGGCCUGCGGCGUAUCAGGUUGUAGGGGGUGUAACGUACCCUCUAGCCAUCUACGCGUACGGGUGUUGGGAGACAUAGCCCGGAGAUGGAUUCUGAGACACGAAUCCAGACCCUACGGGGUGCAGCAGGCGCGAAAACUUGGCAAUGCGAGAAAUCGUGACCAGGGAACUCCAAGUGCAUCGGGUAAGACCGGUGCUUUUCUUGACUCUAAAUAGGUCUUGGAAUAAGGGGUGGGUAAGGACGGUGCCAGCCGCCGCGGUAAUACCGGCGCCUCAAGUGGUAGUCGCUGUUAUUGGGCCUAAAACGUCCGUAGCCGGUCUGAUACAUUCGUGGGUAAAUCAACCAGCUCAACUGGUUGAAUUCUGCGAGGACGGUCAGACUUGGGACCGGGAGAGGUGUGGGGUACGCUCAGGGUAGGGGUAAAAUCCUGUCAUCCUGAGCGGACCACCUGUUGCGAAGGCGCCACACUAGAACGGAUCCGACGGUCAGGGACGAAGCCUAGGGGCACGAACCGGAUUAGAUACCCGGGUAGUCCUAGGUGUAAACGCUGUGGACUUGAUGUUGGGGGUGCUCCGAGCACUCUCAGUGUCGAAGCGAAGGUGAUAAGUCCACUGCCUGGGAAGUACGGUCGCAAGGCUGAAACUUAAAGGAAUUGGCGGGGGAGCACCGCAACCUGAGGAUUGUGCGGUUUAAUUGGACUCAAC